rnacentral:lncRNA from 1 species
AGAAGAGGAGCUUCUGGCCCAAAAUAUGGUGUUUUAAUAUACAGUGGUGCCUCGCAAGACGAAAAACUCGCUAGACGAAAGGGUUUUGCGUUUUUUGAGCUGCUUCGCAAGACGAAUUUCCCUAUGGGCUUGCUUCGCAAGACGAAAACGUCUUGCAAGUUUGUUUCCUUUUUCUUAAAACCGUUAAUACCCAGGGUGCAUUGCUUGAAGAGGUGCAGUUGCGACUUGACUUCGAGGAGCAACACAUUGCAGGUGGUGUGGUAGCCUUUUUUGAGGUUUUUGAGGACUUUGCUGAUUUUUGAAGCUUUUCCAAAACUUCUUUUGCAGCCAUUUGGUAAGUUAAACUUUUAAAACUUUUUGGGGGGUUUUUGGAUUUUGGGUUGGGGUGUUUGGAAUUCAAGGACUUGGUGUUGGGGAGGGGUUUGCAAGAAUCUGGAAGCUUGUGGGGUUUUUUCCCUGCAUUUUUAUGAUUUUCUGUGACCAUUGGGCCACUCUGCUUUUUUUAAAAAAAAAUUCUGGAUUUGAAUUUCUGUGUGGUGGGUGGCUGGGGGAACAGUUGAGGAGGGGUUUGCAAGAAUCUGGAAGCUUGUGUGGUUUUUUUCUGCAUUUUUAUGAUUUUCUGUGACCAUUGGGCCACUCUGCUUUUUUUUAAAAAAAAAUCUGGAUUUGAAUUUCUGUGUGGUGGGUGGCUGGGGGAACAGUUGGGGAGGGGUUUGCAAUUUCUGUGUGGUGGGUGACUGGGGGAAUAGUUGAGGUUUUUGAAGACUUUGGUGAUUUUUGAAGCUUUUCCAAAACUUCUUUUGCAGCCAUUCGGUAAGUUAAACUUUAAAAACUUUUUGGGGGGUUUUUGGAUUUUGGGUUGGGGUGUUUGGAAUUCAAGGACUUGGUUCUGGGUUUGAAUUUCUGUGUGGUGGGUGGCUGGGUGCUUUUGAAUUUUUUGGAUGUGAAGCACUGAUUUGUUUUUAUUUUUUUAUUUUUUUGGCGAAGGUAGGAGCUGUGCUGCCAUGGGACCCAAGAAGACUGCUGCUGCAGAGGCCGGCGAGGGGAAGAAGGCGAAGGUUACGCUGGAAAUGAAGAAGGAGAUCAUCCGGAAGCACGACAGUGGAAUGCGUGUGACAGACCUCGCCAGGGAGUACGGGAGGAAUCCAUCGACCAUCGGGACCAUCCUGAAGAUGAGGGAGAAGAUCCUUGCGACUGAUGCAGCCAAGGGAGUCACCAGGAUCGUGAAGAACCGCCCAGCUGUUCUGGAGGAGGUUGAGAAGUUGCUGCUCAUCUGGUUAGAAGAGAAGCAGCGUGCAGGGGACACAGUGACUGAGGCCGUCAUUUGUGAGAAGGCCAAGGCCUUGCACGCAGAUCUCGUCCGGGAACAGCCAGGAACCUCAGGCGAGCCAGAAGUCUUCAAGGCAAGCAGAGGCUGGUUUGACCGGUUCAAGACGAGAUCUGGAAUCCACAGCGUGGUCAGGCAUGGAGAGGCUGCCAGUUCUGAUGUUCCUGCGGCUGAAGAACUGAGGGACAUUUGCCAGAAGUGGAAAGAUGUGCAGGCUUUUGCACAGCGGCACCACCCUGACAAGGACCUGACACGUGACCUUGCGAACACUUUUGAUACGAGGGUCAUGUCGCCUUUCAGGGAGGUGCUGAAAAGGCGGAUGAAGCAGCAAGGUUCUUCAGCAAGAAGCAAAGAGUGGAAGAGGAACCUUCUUCGAGUUGUCCCCCAGAGUCUUAGAAAAUGUACUGUACACUUUGUUGAUUUUUAAAUGUUUUUCUGUGAUGUUUAGAAACUUAAUUUAUUGUUCCUUCAGUUUUAGAAAUGCUCUUUACAGUAUGUGUGACUUUAAAGAGCACUUAAUAAACUCUUGUUGUACCAAAUUUGGCUUUGUUUGGACUUUUUUUGACCAUAGGAACGCAUUAAUUGAAUUUCAAUGCAUUCCUAUGGGAUUUCGUGCUUCGCAAGACGAAAAAUUCGCUAGACGAAAAAACUCGCGGAACGAAUUAAUUUCGUCUUGCGAGGCACCACUGUAGUUUG